AUGGUUGUGGCUGAACCCGCAAAUCCUCAUUCAGAUUUAGAUGUACAGGAUAAGAGUGUCGAGAAAGUCAAUAUAUGGCUUAGUGCGGCACAUAAGUUGUCUACUAGCUCCUUGCUCGUGGCGUUGAAGUGGUGGCGACAGGCGAUGGCGGCGGCGUUGUCGAUUGCGGUGAGGACAUCCCGUGGCAUCCCUCGAAGCACCAACACGACGCCACCUGGUCUACCAUCUCCAUAUGGGCGAGUUCUCUUGAUCCCCAGCGUACUCUCUCACCUCCUCCAAAUUCCUCGACCCCUAACUUCUCGAUCCCUACCAGGCUACCACGAUCUGAUCCGAAGGCCGAUGCAGCUCCGGGCUAUUGAUAAUGGAGGUUGA
rnacentral:rRNA from 1 species